rnacentral:lncRNA from 1 species
GGAAUAAAUGUCAACUGUGAUAACAGGUGAUGAAGAUGUUGAUAAUGGAGAAGAACGUGUUUCACAUAUGGAUGCAAUUAAAGAUCUUACUGAAGAUUUGAAGGUCUUUGUGCCAAUAUACCACUUCUAACACUGUUGUCUUGAACUAAUUUCAAACAUUCAAAAAAACAUAGGAAUAGGACAGAGUGUCCCCUGCAAUUCAUCAAGGCAGAGCAAUCUGUCACCUUCUUCAUCUCUCCCAUCUAAUAUGAAGAAGGAAGUAGGACCAAUUACAUGAAAUAGAAGAUUUUUUAAUGCUGAAUAAAACUGUAUCCCAGGAAAAACACAAGCACUUCUUCUUCA